GUAUCAGUAACAAAGUUGUAAAUGUUUCUUCCCUCCAUAGUGGUGCUCUCCCUGCUGGCCUGUCUGAGCUCCUCUGUCUGUGAGGUGAGGAGGGCAGCCACAGCCACCCUACAGACCCUGGCCCAGGUGGACAGCUCUCCCUUUCAGACACACACACACACACACACACGUGAAGACUUCAUUUGUAUUCUCAAUUAAGCAUUGUUGGUACAAAGUAUCAAAAUAAAUCCUAAACACACACCUAUUUCGUCUUCUAUUCACAUUAAAUGUUAUUAUAAACACUCUUUUCCAAAUCGAUGUGUAGGCCAUGAGGAAGUUCUGUGAGGAGGCUGUAACAGGGACAGGCAAGACCCGGGACAAGACCUGCUAGUGGGGUUGGAGGAGCUGCCGCUCAGUGGUCAGGUGGCCAGCUGCCCUGCCUACACCUCCAAAACCAUACUGAGGGCUCUGGGAGAGGUGAGUGGACAGGGAGUGACAACAGACAUUUAAGAAGUCCUUGCUGGAAUGUGAAAGAUUGAAAUAACUCUGAGGGCUCUUUAUAUGGGAGCUCUCAUCUGGGUGUUGGAGGUUUUUGUAAAGCCAUAUAUUUUAUAUUCCUGUCUCCUUUUCUCCUCAUUCUGUGCCGCAGCCGGAGCCUGCUGGUGCAGAGCGGGCCGGGGGAAACCCACCAUUCUAAAGGACAAAGGCCCUGCUCAUGCAGCUGGUCCUGGGGAAGUACAAUGAACAGGCAGCCCCCCCACCUGAUUUAAGACCAGGCCUGCAUGGAGCUCUUCAUUGAGGCCCGGGGCACGGUGUCUAAACCCUACCCUGAUAUCCCCUGCUUCCAGAUCAUCGCCUUAUUACAGGUACGCAACUGUAGCAGCAUACUCUGUGAUGCAAUGGCUGUAUGCUACUUAUUUCCAAUAUUGUAGGCACAAAACAGAAAAAUGUAAUAAAACAUUCAGAAAAUUCUCCAAUGACAACCCUCUUUAAAAAUAAUAAUAAUAAUAAUCUGUUUCAAAAUGUUUUCUCCCAUUUGCUCAUACUGAACAUGACCCUGUUGUUGUCACAUCACCAAGGCAUUCUACUCAGCCCUGUGAGAGGAGAAGGUCCAGCUGAGACUCCUGGGGGUUUGACCCAGCAGGAGUGCUGUCUGUGCCCAGACCGUUGUCCGUGUCUUCAAGCGGGAAGGCCAGGACACUUCUCAGGCAGUGCCAGAAGAGGGCGCUGUGUCCUGGGAGAGGGUGACUCUCAUCCUAGAGCUGCUGCAGCACAAAAAUAAGUUGCAGAGGCCUCAGAUGCUAGUUCCCGCUCUCCAGCCUCCUCUCGUAGGUACAACCAGCAACGCUGUCUCUCAGUGCCUUGGCCUUAGCUAGGCCAGCCAUGUGUCCAGUUACCUACACUGGCAUACUAUUUAGAAUACUACAAUGGAUUUUGGGACAUAGACCAAGUGAUGUUCCUCUCUGGCCACACAGGUGCCUGGAGACGUCAACCGUGGAGCAAGACAACCUAGAGUACGCCCAAGCAUGUAGGCCAUGUCUGUUCAACGUCUACCAGAAGCUCUCCCCCGACGGAGGACCCGUCAGCAAAGAUGAGGAGACGGAGAGACCCUGCUUUAGCCCAGGAGCACCCCUGAGGCUUUUAGGGGGGGGGGGGGGGGGGGUAACUGACUAUGUUUGUCCUCCACACACACGUGCUGGAUGAGUUCAACGUGGAGCAUUUCUCAGCCGUCACGGAACCAUUUCUCAGCUGUCGAAAGUGUGCUCCCAAUGACCUCUUGACUUCGCCCCAUCCUUUUCCAGGAGAAAGUCCUGCACUUAAGGCCAUCUUCACGUUCAUGGGCACCAACAUCACGUGUCUGGACGACGCCUAAAGCUUUCAGGUCAUCAACAACACCACUAGGUCAACCAACUAGCGGUUGGUGACGUUGGAUAGCUACGACCUGUCCCAUUGUCUCACUUCCACUCAUCAUAUAAUAAGCUAUGGAUGUUAAUUAUAUGGAGUUUUGGUUAGCAUGAUACAGUGCAUUCGGAAAAUAUUCCGACCCCUUGACUUUUUCCGGCAUUUUUUUAACAUUACAGCCUUAUUCUAAGAUGUAUUUAAAUAAAAUGUUCUCAUCAAUCGACACACAAUACCCCAUAAUGACAAAGCGAAAACAGGUUUUUAGAUUUUUUUUCUCAUUUAUAAAAAAUAAAGUAUUCAGACCCUUUGCUAUGAGAAUCGAACUUGAGCUCAGGUACAUCCUGUUUCCAUUGAUCAUCCUUAAAAUGUUUCUACAACUUGAUUGGAGUCCUUCUGAUUUGGAAAGGCACACACCUGUCUAUAUAAGGUCCCACAGUUGACAGUGCAUGUCAGAGCAAAAACCAAGACAUGAGGUCGAAGGAAUUUUCCGUAGAUCAUAUAUCUCAGACUGGCCAAUAAAAAUUAAAUAUUAAGAUGGGCAAAAUAACAGACACUGGACAGAGGAACUCUGCCUAGAAGGCCAGCAUCCCGGAGUCUCCUCUUCACUGUUGACGUUGAGACUAGUGUUCUGCGGGUACUAUUUUAAUGACGCUGCCAGUUGAGGACUUGUGAGGUGUCUGUUUCUCAAACUAGACACUCUAGUGUACUUGUCCUCUUGCUCAGUUGUGCACUGGGGCCUCCAAUCCUCUUUCUAUUCUGGUUUGAGCCAGUUUGCGCUGUUCUGUGAAGGGAGAAGUACACCGCGUUGUACGAGAUCUUCAGUUUCUUGGCAAUUUCUCGCAUGGAAUAGCCUUAAUUUCUCAGAAUAAGAAUAGACUGACGAGUUUCAGAAGAAAGUUGUUUGUUUCUGGCCAUUUUGAGCCUGUAAUCGAACCCACAAAUGUGGAUGCUCCAGAUACUCAACUCGUCUAAAGAAGGCCAGUUUUAUUGCUUCUUUAAUCAGGACAAAAGUUUUCAGCUGUGCUAACAUAAUUGCAGAAGGGUUUUCUAAUGAUCAAUUAGCCUUUUUAAAAUGAUGAACUUGUAUUAACUAACACAACGUGUCAUUGGAACACAGGAGUGAUGGUGGCUGAUAAUGGGCUUCUGUACGCCUAUGUAGAUAUUCAAUUAAAAAUCAGCCUUUUCCAGCUACAGUAGUCAUUUACAACAUUAACAAUGUCUACACUGUAUUUCUGAUCAAUUUGAUGUUAUUUUAAUGGCCAAAAAAAUUGCUUUAAAAAAAAACAAGGCCAUUUCUAAGUGACCCCAAACUUUUGAACGUGUAUGUGUGUAUAUAUGAAGGCGGUGGCCAAGCACUCUGAAGGCCCUCGCUAUCCCACAACUACCCAGGUACACAGACAACAUUUCUGUGUUUACAGUAGAUACAGGCAGCACAGUUCAGACCAGUGCAUUUGGCAGCUCAAUUACUCAUAUUUCCUAUUUUCCUACAAACACUUGAAUAGAACUUGUCAGGUUGCCCCCAAAAUAUUGACACAUAAUACACCGUAGUAGGUAUACUAGUCACUGUUGGUGACCGUAGUCUCCUUCCACUCCUCCUGUUUUGUCAGGCUGAUGCUGGCAGUGCUGCAGACUCUAGACAUCACCUCUUUCCUCUCUGCUAAUGAGAUCUACAUGCUGAGUGCCGUCACAGCCCUGCAACACGUCACUGAGACCCUGCCUCACUUCAUCACCCAGGACAAUAGGACACCGCUACAGGUAACGUCUACUAUCCCAGAACACAAACAUCCUUCUGUUUUUUUUUUUUUUACAUAAUACAUCUAAUGGAACGUGUUAUACUGAAAUUAUGUGCGGGUGUAACAGAGUAAUGUGACUUGACUGAGGCGGCUGGCAGAGAAGGCCGCCACCACCACCCCACAGCUGGCCGUGUGACUGGCCUCCCUCAGGACCACCGUGGCCACCAAGGUUUCCUCCUAGGAUCCUGCUGUCAACCCUUGAAGAAGUACUAGAAUAAGAUGAACUCCAAACAGGUAUGUGGUGCCUAACCUACAGUAGCCUGUGUGAUAUAUAUAUAAGGAUGGAGUAAAUACAGUGCCUUGCGAAAGUAUUCGGCCCCCUUGAACUUUGCG
rnacentral:lncRNA from 1 species